rnacentral:rRNA from 1 species
ACGGAGGGUGCAAGCGUUACUCGGAAUCACUGGGCGUAAAGCGCGCGCAGGCGGCUUUGUAAGUUGGAUGUGAAAUCCUAUGGCUCAACCAUAGAACUGCAUCGAAAACUGUUUAGCUAGAGUCUGGUAGAGGAAGGUGGAAUUAGAGGUGUAGCGGUGAAAUGCGUAGAUAUUGGGAGGAACACCAGAAGCGAAGGCGACCUACUGGGCUGUAACUGACGCUGAGGCGCGAAAGCUAGGGGAGCAAACAG